UGAUUCAAUUGUUGACCGGAAUGGUAUGGAUAUAGACAGAGGGGCUUCUUAUCCACCAUCUUUUCAGGAUACUCUUCUAGGGUCUCUUCCAUAUUUAUUUCAAGGGUUGGAUAUGGAUGAUAUUGUGUUAGAGGAUAGUGACAUGUUGAUCGAUGAUAUUGAUGGGGUUCCUUGAUUAGGUUUUUGGAUCAAGUUCACACUCUCAUUGAGAAUAGUACAGAACAUCCGGUUGUCAUCAAGUUGUUGGGUCGCCAGAUUGUGUUUAAUGUGCUUCUUAACAUAUUAUUUACCUUCUGGAAGCU
rnacentral:lncRNA from 1 species